CGAGCGGACAGAAGGGAGCUUGCUCCCGGAUGUUAGCGGCGGACGGGUGAGUAACACGUGGGUAACCUGCCUGUAAGACUGGGAUAACUCCGGGAAACCGGAGCUAAUACCGGAUAGUUCCUUGAACCGCAUGGUUCAAGGAUGAAAGACGGUUUCGGCUGUCACUUACAGAUGGACCCGCGGCGCAUUAGCUAGUUGGUGGGGUAAUGGCUCACCAAGGCGACGAUGCGUAGCCGACCUGAGAGGGUGAUCGGCCACACUGGGACUGAGACACGGCCCAGACUCCUACGGGAGGCAGCAGUAGGGAAUCUUCCGCAAUGGACGAAAGUCUGACGGAGCAACGCCGCGUGAGUGAUGAAGGUUUUCGGAUCGUAAAGCUCUGUUGUUAGGGAAGAACAAGUGCGAGAGUAACUGCUCGCACCUUGACGGUACCUAACCAGAAAGCCACGGCUAACUACGUGCCAGCAGCCGCGGUAAUACGUAGGUGGCAAGCGUUGUCCGGAAUUAUUGGGCGUAAAGGGCUCGCAGGCGGUUUCUUAAGUCUGAUGUGAAAGCCCCCGGCUCACCCGGGGAGGGUCAUUGGAAACUGGGAAACUUGAGUGCAAAAGAGGAGAGUGAAUUCCACGUGUAGCGGUGAAAUGCGUAGAGAUGUGGAGGAACACCAGUGACGAAGGCGACUCUCUGCUCUGUAACUGACGC
rnacentral:rRNA from 1 species